UACGUAGGGUGCAAGCGUUGUCCGGAAUUAUUGGGCGUAAAGAGCUCGUAGGCGGCUUGUCGCGUCGGCUGUGAAAUCCCGUGGCUCAACUGCGGGUCUGCAGCCGAUACGGGCAGGCUAGAGUUCGGUAGGGGAGACUGGAAUUCCUGGUGUAGCGGUGAAAUGCGCAGAUAUCAGGAGGAACACCAGAGGCGAAGGCGGCUCACUGGAUAGGUACUGACACUCAACUCCGAAAGCGUGGGGAGCAAACAGG
rnacentral:rRNA from 1 species